rnacentral:rRNA from 1 species
AGUGAACGCUGGCGGUAGGCCUAACACAUGCAAGUCGAACGGCAGCACAGUAAGAGCUUGCUCUUACGGGUGGCGAGUGGCGGACGGGUGAGGAAUACAUCGGAAUCUACUUUUUCGUGGGGGAUAACGUAGGGAAACUUACGCUAAUACCGCAUACGACCUACGGGUGAAAGCAGGGGAUCUUCGGACCUUGCGCGAUUGAAUGAGCCGAUGUCGGAUUAGCUAGUUGGCGGGGUAAAGGCCCACCAAGGCGACGAUCCGUAGCUGGUCUGAGAGGAUGAUCAGCCACACUGGAACUGAGACACGGUCCAGACUCCUACGGGAGGCAGCAGUGGGGAAUAUUGGACAAUGGGCGCAAGCCUGAUCCAGCCAUACCGCGUGAGUGAAGAAGGCCUUCGGGUUGUAAAGCCCUUUUGUUGGGAAAGAAAAGCAGCAGGUUAAUACCUCGCUGUUCUGACGGUACCCAAAGAGUAAGCACCGGCUAACUUCGUG